rnacentral:rRNA from 1 species
UUGAACGCUGGCGGCAUGCUUUACCCCUGCAAGUCGAACGGUAACAGGCCUUCGGGUGCUGCCGAGUGGCGAACGGGUGAGUAAUGCAUCGGAACGUGCCCAGAGGUGGGGGAUAACGCAGCGAAAGCUGUGCUAAUACCGCAUGUGAUCUGAGGAUGAAAGCGGGGGACCAGGCAGCAAUGUUUGGCCUCGCGCCUUUGGAGCGGCCGAUGUCAGAUUAGGUAGUUGGUGGGGUAAAGGCCUACCAAGCCGACGAUCUGUAGCUGGUCUGAGAGGACGACCAGCCACACUGGGACUGAGACACGGCCCAGACUCCUACGGGAGGCAGCAGUGGGGAAUUUUGGACAAUGGGCGCAAGCCUGAUCCAGCAAUGCCGCGUGCGGGAAGAAGGCCUUCGGGUUGUAAACCGCUUUUGUACGGAACGAAAAGGCUCUGGCUAAUACCUGGGGCUGAUGACGGUACCGUAAGAAUAAGCACCGGCUAACUACGUG